GCCCUUGACAUGUCCUCUAUGGAUUCCAGAGACGGAGUCCUUCACUUCGGGUGGGAGGAACACAGGUGCUGCAUGGCUGUCGUCAGCUCGUGUCGCGAGAUGUUGGGUUAAGUCCCGCAACGAGCGCAACCCUCGCCCUUAGUUGCCAUCAUUUAGUUGGGCACUCUAAGGGGACUGCCGGUGAUAAGCCGGAGGAAGGUGGGGAUGACGUCAAGUCCUCAUGGCCCUUACGGGCUGGGCUACACACGUGCUACAAUGGCGGUGACAGAGGGAUGCAAAGGGGCAACCCUUCGCAAAUCUCAAAAAGCCGUCUCAGUUCGGAUUGGGGUCUGCAACUCGACCCCAUGAAGUUGGAAUCGCUAGUAAUCGCAGAUCAGCACGCUGCGGUGAAUACGUUCCCGGGCCUUGUACACACCGCCCGUCACACCAUGGGAGUUGGCUUUACCUGAAGACGGUGCGCUAACCGCAAGGAAGCAGCCGGCCACGGUAGGGUCAGCGACUGGGGUGAAGUCGUAACAAGGUAGGCGUACUACA
rnacentral:rRNA from 1 species